CAGCCGCCGCGGUAAAACGGAGGGUGCAAGCGUUAAUCGGAAUUACUGGGCGUAAAGCGCACGCAGGCGGUCUGUCAAGUCAGAUGUGAAAUCCCCGGGCUUAACCUGGGAACUGCAUUUGAAACUGGCAGGCUAGAGUCUUGUAGAGGGGGGUAGAAUUCCAGGUGUAGCGGUGAAAUGCGUAGAGAUCUGGAGGAAUACCGGUGGCGAAGGCGGCCCCCUGGACAAAGACUGACGCUCAGGUGCGAAAGCGUGGGGAGCAAACAGGAUUAGAUACCCCCGUAGUCCUGUCUCUUAUACA
rnacentral:rRNA from 1 species